GACGAACGCUGGCGGCGUGCUUAACAUAUGCAAGUCGAACGGAAAGGCCCCUUUGGGGGUACUCGAGUGGCGAACGGGUGAGUAACACGUGAGUAACCUGCCCCUGACUUCGGGAUAACUUCAGGAAACUGGGGCUAAUACCGGAUAGGAAUCCUUGCUGCAUGGUGGGGGUUGGAAAGCUUCGGCGGUUUUGGAUGGACUCGCGGCUUAUCAGCUUGUUGGUGGGGUAGUGGCUUACCAAGGCUUUGACGGGUAGCCGGCCUGAGAGGGCGACCGGCCACAUUGGGACUGAGAUACGGCCCAGACUCCUACGGGAGGCAGCAGUGGGGAAUAUUGCACAAUGGGCGGAAGCCUGAUGCAGCAACGCCGCGUGCGGGAUGACGGCCUUCGGGUUGUAAACCGCUUUCAGCAGGGGCGAAGCUUGUGGUGACGGUACCUGCAGAAGAAGCACCGGCUAACUACGUG
rnacentral:rRNA from 1 species